rnacentral:rRNA from 1 species
CCUACGGGAGGCAGCAGUGGGGAAUAUUGGGCAAUGGGCGCAAGCCUGACCCAGCAACGCCGCGUGAAGGAAGAAGGCCCUCGGGUUGUAAACUUCUUUUAACAGGGACGAAGAAAGUGACGGUACCUGUUGAAUAAGCCACGGCUAACUACGUGCCAGCAUCCGCGGUAAUACGUAGGUGGCAAGCGUGAUCCGGAUUUACUGGGGGUAAAGGGCGUGUAGGCGGGAGAGCAAGUCAGACGUGAAAUUCCAGGGCUCAACCCUGGAACUGCGUUUGAAACUGUUCUUCUUGAGUGAUGGAGAGGCAGGCGGAAUUCCGUGUGUAGCGGUGAAAUGCGUAGAUAUCACGCAGAACUCCGAUUGCGAAGGCAGCAUACCGGCGCCCGACUGACGCUGAGGCACGAAAGCGUGGGGAUCGAACAGGAUUAGAUACCCCAGUAGUC